CUAAUACAUGCAAGUCGAGCGGUAAGGCUCCUGCAGAUUAUUUAAGCGAUGAAGGUAACUUCUAAUUCGACUCCCGGCUAGGAGUUUGGAUAAGCUUGAAUGAUGCGCUGGAGUACACGAGCGGCGGACGGGUGAGUAACGCGUAAGAACAUACCCCAAACUGAGGGAUAACUGCUCGAAAGAGUAGCUAAUACCGCAUGUGCUCUACGGAGUAAAGCUUCGGCGGUUUGGGAAUGGCUUGCGUCUGAUUAGCUAGUUGGUAAGGUAAUGGCUUACCAAGGCGACGAUCGGUAGCUGGUCUGAGAGGAUGAUCAGCCACACUGGGACUGAGACACGGCCCAGACUCCUACGGGAGGCAGCAGUAGGGAAUUUUCCACAAUGGGGGCAACCCUGAUGGAGCAACGCCGCGUGCAGGAUGAAGGCCUUCGGGUUGUAAACUGCUUUUGUCUGUGACGAAUAUGACGGUAGCAGACGAAUAAGGAUCGGCUAACUACGUGCCAGCAGCCCGCGGUCAUACGUAGGAUCCAAGCGUUAUCCGGAUUUACUGGGCCGUAAAG
rnacentral:rRNA from 1 species